rnacentral:rRNA from 1 species
GAUGAACGCUGGCGGCGUGCCUAAUACAUGCCAGUCGAGCGAACAGACGAGGAGCUUGCUCCUCUGACGUUAGCGGCGGACGGGUGAGUAACACGUGGAUGACCUACCUAUAAGACUGGGAUAACUUCGGGAAACCGGAGCUAAUACCGGAUUAUAUAUUGAACCGCAUGGUUCAAUAGUGAAAGACGGUUUUGCUGUCACUUAUAGAUGGAUCCGCGCCGCAUUAGCUAGUUGGUAAGGUAACGGCUUACCAAGGCAACGAUGCGUAGCCGACCUGAGAGGGUGAUCGGCCACACUGGAACUGAGACACGGUCCAGACUCCUACGGGAGGCAGCAGUAGGGAAUCUUCCGCAAUGGGCGAAAGCCUGACGGAGCAACGCCGCGUGAGUGAUGAAGGUCUUCGGAUCGUAAAACUCUGUUAUUAGGGAAGAACAAAUGUGUAAGUAACUAUGCACGUCUUGACGGUACCUAAUCAGAAAGCCACGGCUAACUACGUG